rnacentral:rRNA from 1 species
AGAGUUUGAUCAUGGCUCAGGACGAACGCUGGCGGCGUGCUUAACACAUGCAAGUCGAACGGAAAGGCCCUUCGGGGUACUCGAGUGGCGAACGGGUGAGUAACACGUGGGUGAUCUGCCCUGCACUUUGGGAUAAGCCUGGGAAACUGGGUCUAAUACCGAAUAGGACCACGCGCUUCAUGGUGUGUGGUGGAAAGCUUUUGCGGUGUGGGAUGGGCCCGCGGCCUAUCAGCUUGUUGGUGGGGUAAUGGCCUACCAAGGCGACGACGGGUAGCCGGCCUGAGAGGGUGACCGGCCACACUGGGACUGAGAUACGGCCCAGACUCCUACGGGAGGCAGCAGUGGGGAAUAUUGCACAAUGGGCGCAAGCCUGAUGCAGCGACGCCGCGUGAGGGAUGACGGCCUUCGGGUUGUAAACCUCUUUCAAUAGGGACGAAGCGCAAGUGACGGUACCUAUAGAAGAAGCACCGGCCAACUACGUGCCAGCAGCCGCGGUAAUACGUAGGGUGCGAGCGUUGUCCGGAAUUACUGGGCGUAAAGAGCUCGUAGGUGGUUUGUCGCGUUGUUCGUGAAAACUCACAGCUUAACUGUGGGCGUGCGGGCGAUACGGGCAGACUAGAGUACUGCAGGGGAGACUGGAAUUCCUGGUGUAGCGGUGGAAUGCGCAGAUAUCAGGAGGAACACCGGUGGCGAAGGCGGGUCUCUGGGCAGUAACUGACGCUGAGGAGCGAAAGCGUGGGUAGCGAACAGGAUUAGAUACCCCGGUAGUCCAA